rnacentral:sRNA from 1 species
ACCUUCCUCCCGUCUUGCCUUCUCCCUCGAGUUGGGACCCGGGAAGAACCAUGAAGUGGCUGCUGCUGCUGGGUCUGGUGGCGCUCUCUGAGUGCAUCAUGUACAAGGUCCCCCUCAUCAGAAAGAAGUCCUUGAGGCGCACCCUGUCCGAGCGUGGCCUGCUGAAGGACUUCCUGAAGAAGCACAACCUCAACCCAGCCAGCAAGUACUUCCCCCAGUGGGAGGCUCCCACCCUGGUAGAUGAACAGCCCCUGGAGAACUACCUGGAUGUGAGUGUGCGGGCAAGUGGUGGGGCCAGCUCUGAGGACUUGGCCAGCAGGAAAGAGGGUGUCCCAGGGGUCUUGGAGGAUGGGCCUGGGCUCUGCGGCUCCAGGCAGUGACCCAGAGUCUGCCCCCUAGAUGUCAGUGGCCCAGGGCAGGCAGGAAAGCUCACAGUCAGAGCUGUUGCUCUUUUGUUCAUUUAUUUAUUCGUUCACUCGUUCAUGCAAUGUUAAUUUCUUCUGAGCGCCUCGUUCUAUGUCAGGGCCUGUGCUGGGCUCAGGAGGAGACAGCAGUGAGCAAACUCAUAGCCUAGGAGACAAACACAGUAAUC